AAACACUGUCGUUCAACCAGUCUGAACCAGAAUGAGACCCAGAAGGAAAAAGUCCUGAAGAUGGAGAGUUAAAGGUGCAAUAAUGUUUUUGAAUUGUGACUU